GACGAACGCUGGCGGCGUGCCUAAUACAUGCAAGUCGAACGCAGUGGGGACGGGUGAGUAACACGUGGGUAACCUCGCAUCAGAGGGGAGAACACUUGGAAACAGGUGCUAAACCGAUACGGGUGGAGGGUCUCGCGGUGCAGUAGCUAGUUGGUGAGGUAACGGCUCACCAAGGCAACGAUGCAUAGCUGACCUGAGAGGGUGAUCGUCCACACUGGGACUGAGACACGGCCCAGACUCCUACGGCAGGCAGCAGUAGGGAAUCUUCGGCAAUGGACGAAAGUCUGACCGAGCAACGCCGCGUGAGUGAAGAAGGUUUUCGGAUCGUAAAACUCUGUUGUUAGAGAAGCGUUACCUAACCAGAAAGCCACGGCUAACUACGUGCCAGCAGCCGCGGUAAUAC
rnacentral:rRNA from 1 species